rnacentral:rRNA from 1 species
GAUGAACGCUGGCGGCGUGCUUAACACAUGCAAGUCGAACGGUGAAGGCGGAGCUUGCUCUGCUGGAUCAGUGGCGAACGGGUGAGUAACACGUGAGCAAUCUGCCCCUGACUCUGGGAUAAGCGCUGGAAACGGCGUCUAAUACUGGAUACGAGCUGCGAAGGCAUCUUCAGCAGCUGGAAAGAACUUCGGUCAGGGAUGAGCUCGCGGCCUAUCAGCUUGUUGGUGAGGUAACGGCUCACCAAGGCGUCGACGGGUAGCCGGCCUGAGAGGGUGACCGGCCACACUGGGACUGAGACACGGCCCAGACUCCUACGGGAGGCAGCAGUGGGGAAUAUUGCACAAUGGGCGAAAGCCUGAUGCAGCAACGCCGCGUGAUGGACGACGGCCUUCGGGUUGUAAACCGCUUUUAGCAGGGAAGAAGCGAAAGUGACGGUACCUGCAGAAAAAGCGCCGGCUAACUACGUG